UACGGGGGGGGCAAGCGUUGUUCGGAAUUACUGGGCGUAAAGGGUGCGUAGGCGGCUUUCUAAGUUGGAUGUGAAAACUAUGGGCUCAACCCAUAGCCUGCAUCCAAAACUGGAGAGCUUGGGUUCUGGAGGGGAGAGCGGAAUUCCUGGUGUAGCGGUGAAAUGCGUAGAUAUCAGGAGGAACACCGGUGGCGAAGGCGGCUCUCUGGACAGACACCGACGCUGAGGCACGAAAGCGAGGGGAGCAAACAGG
rnacentral:rRNA from 1 species